UACAGAGGUCUCAAGCGUUGUUCGGAUUUAUUGGGCGUAAAGGGUGUGUAGGUGGCGCCGUAAGUCGGGUGUGAAAUUUCGGAGCUUAACUCCGAAACUGCAUUCGAUACUGCGGUGCUUGAGGACUGGAGAGGAGGCUGGAAUUCAUGGUGUAGCAGUGAAAUGCGUAGAGAUCAUGAGGAAGACCAGUGGCGAAGGCGGGUCUCUGGACAAUGCCUGACACUGAGACACGAAGGCCAGGGGAGCAAACGGG
rnacentral:rRNA from 1 species